ACGAGGCACUACGGUGCUGAAGCAACAAAUGCCCUGCUUCCAGGAAAAGCCUCUAAGCAUCAGGUAACAUCAAAUCGUACCCCAAACCGACACAGGUGGUCAGGUAGAGAAUACCAAGGCGCUUGAGAGAACUCGGGUGAAGGAACUAGGCAAAAUGGUGCCGUAACUUCGGGAGAAGGCACGCUGAUAUGUAGGUGAAGCGACUUGCUCGUGGAGCUGAAAUCAGUCGAAGAUACCAGCUGGCUGCAACUGUUUAUUAAAAACACAGCACUGUGCAAACACGAAAGUGGACGUAUACGGUGUGACGCCUGCCCGGUGCCGGAAGGUUAAUUGAUGGGGU
rnacentral:rRNA from 1 species